UCCUAAGCUGAGGCCGACAGGCGUAGGCGAUGGAUAACAGGUUGAUAUUCCUGUACCACCAUUAUUCGUUUUAAGCGAUGGGGGGACGCAGUAGGAUAGGCGAAGCGUGCUGUUGGAGUGCACGUCCAAGCAGUGAGAUUGAGUGUUAGGCAAAUCCGGCACUCUUAAGAUUGAGCUGUGAUGGGGAGAGGAACUUGUUCCUCGAGUCGUUGAUUUCACACUGCCGAGAAAAGCCUCUAGCUAGAAUAACGGUGCCCGUACCGCAAACCGACACAGGUAGUCAAGAUGAGAAUUCUAAGGUGAGCGAGCGAACUCUCGUUAAGGAACUCGGCAAAAUGACCCCGUAACUUCGGGAGAAGGGGUGCUCUUUGAGGUUCACGCUUCGAAGAGCCGCAGUGAAUAGGCCCAAGCGACUGUUUAUCAAAAACACAGGUCUCUGCUAAACCGUAAGGUGACGUAUAGGGGCUGACGCCUGCCCGGUGCUGGAAGGUUAAGAGGAGUGGUUAGCGCAAGCGAAGCUACGAAUCGAAGCCCCAGUAAACGGCGGCCGUAACUAUAACGGUCCUAAGGUAGCGAAAUUCCUUGUCGGGUAAGUUCCGACCCGCACGAAAGGCGUAACGAUUUGGGCACUGUCUCAACGAGAGACUCGGUGAAAUCAUAGUACCGGUGAAGAUGCCGGUUACCCGCGACAGGACGGAAAGACCCCGUGGAGCUUUACUGUAGCCUGAUAUUGAAAUUCGGUACAGUUUGUACAGGAUAGGUAGGAGCCUUAGAAGCGUGAGCGCUAGCUUACGUGGAGGCAUUGGUGGGAUACUACCCUAAUUGUAUUGGAUUUCUAACCCGCAGCACUUAUCGUGCUGGGAGACAGUGUCAGGCGGGCAGUUUGACUGGGGCGGUCGCCUCCUAAAGAGUAACGGAGGCGCUCAAAGGUUCCCUCAGAAUGGUUGGAAAUCAUUCAUAGAGUGUAAAGGCAUAAGGGAGCUUGACUGCGAGACCUACAAGUCGAGCAGGGUCGAAAGACGGACUUAGUGAUCCGGUGGUUCCGCAUGGAAGGGCCAUCGCUCAACGGAUAAAAGCUACCCCGGGGAUAACAGGCUUAUCUCCCCCAAGAGUUCACAUCGACGGGGAGGUUUGGCACCUCGAUGUCGGCUCAUCGCAUCCUGGGGCUGUAGUCGGUCCCAAGGGUUGGGCUGUUCGCCCAUUAAAGCGGUACGCGAGCUGGGUUCAGAACGUCGUGAGACAGUUCGGUCCCUAUCCGUCGUGGGCGUAGGAAAUUUGAGAGGAGCUGUCCUUAGUACGAGAGGACCGGGAUGGACAUACCUCUGGUGUACCAGUUGUCGUGCCAACGGCAUAGCUGGGUAGCUAUGUAUGGACGGGAUAAGUGCUGAAAGCAUCUAAGCAUGAAGCCCCCCUCGAGAUGAGAUUUCCCAACUUCGGUUAUAAGAUCCCUCAAAGAUGAUGAGGUGAAUAGGUUCGAGGUGGAAGCGUAGCGAUACGUGGAGCUGACGAAUACUA
rnacentral:rRNA from 1 species